AUUGAACGCUGGCGGCAGGCCUAACACAUGCAAGUCGAGCGGAGCGGGGACGGGUGAGUAACACGUGGGUAACCUCCCAUCAGAGGGGAUAACACUUGGAAACAGGUGCUAAACCGAUACUGCCGGAUGGACCCGCGGUGCAUUAGCUUGUUGGUGGGGUAACGGCUCACCAAGGCGACGAUGCAUGGACGACCUGAGAGGGUGAUCGGCCACACUGGUACUGAGACACGGCCCAGACUCCUACGGGAGGCAGCAGUAGGGAAUCUUGUGCAAUGGACGAAAGUCUGACCGAGCAACGCCGCGUGAGUGAAGAAGGUUUUCGGGUCGUAAACUUCUGUUGUUAGAGAAGCGGUAUCUAACGAGAAAGCCACGGCUAACUACGUGCCAGCAGCCGCGGUAAUAC
rnacentral:rRNA from 1 species